UACGUAGGGGGCAAGCGUUGUCCGGAAUCAUUGGGCGUAAAGCGCGCGUAGGCGGCCCGGUAAGUCCGUUGUGAAAGUCAAAGGCUCAACCUUUGAACGCCGAUGGAUACUGUCGGGCUAGAGUCCGGAAGAGGUCGAGUGGAAUUCCUGGUGUAGCGGUGGAAUGCGCAGAUAUCAGGAGGAACACCGAUGGCGAAGGCAGCUCACUGGGACGGUACUGACGCUGAGGCGCGAAAGCGUGGGGAGCAAACAGG
rnacentral:rRNA from 1 species